UCCUGGCUGUAAACGAUGGGCACUACGUAGUGGGGCCUCUGACGGUUUCACUGCCGGAACUAACGCAUUAAGUGCCCCGCCUGGGGACUACGGCCGCAAGGCUAAAACUCAAGGUAAUUGACGGGGGCUCACACAAGCGGUGGAGCAUGUUGCGUAAUCGAGGCAACGCGAAGAACCUUACCAGGGCUUGACAUGCACGGAUUAGGCCGUCGAAAGGCGGCUGACACCCUCUG
rnacentral:rRNA from 1 species